UACGAAGGGGGCUAGCGUUGCUCGGAAUCACUGGGCGUAAAGGGCUCGUAGGUGGCCAACUAAGUCAGACGUGAAAUCCCUCAGCUUAACUGGGGAACUGCGUCUGAUACUGGAUGGCUUGAGUUUGGGAGAGGGAUGCGGAAUUCCAGGUGUAGCGGUGAAAUGCGUAGAUAUCUGGAGGAACACCGGUGGCGAAGGCGGCAUCCUGGACCAAUACUGACACUGAGGAGCGAAAGCCAGGGGAGCAAACGGG
rnacentral:rRNA from 1 species